AUCGGGACAGGGAGAGGGAGAGACACGGAGCUGAAUUCUCCGGCAAGUAGCUGCGAUCGGCUUCAGAGAGUGAGCUCAGAGCCGGUGUGUGGGAGCGUCGCUGGGAGAAAGGAGCGGACAGAAUUCACAAAUCUCGGAUAGAGGUACUCAUGGAGUUCCUGACUCAAUAGACUUGCCAACUGCUGGCUGGGACGAUGGUUGGUCAGCCGGAAAGACACAGUCAGGGAGGUCGGAGUCUUCAAUCAAUCCUGCUGCCAGGUACAAUGGUGAUCCUGUAAGAGACCAGUGCGGAAUGGGAUGUUAUAAAUCUCAGCUGAGGCUUGCGGCCUACCAUUACCUGGGAGUCACUAAGGGAGAGAAUCUGAGAGAGAGCAGCACAAAGCGGGAGAAUAUAAAUCAGCAGCGAGGGUCAAGGCCGACUGGGACUUGGAUCUGGAGAAACAGCAGAGCAGGAGGCUCGAAAUCAGCACCGAGUCACAGAGGGAGUGACCGUGGGAGGGAGCAACUUGGAGCAGGAGCUUGAGGCUGACUCACACCUGGGAGAAUAUAAAUCAGCACUGAGGAUCG